AAAAAUCCGUUAACUAGCGCGCGCAGCAGCUGGAGCAUGCGCCGUUCUUCCAGCCGGGGCAGCUAAAGCGCCUUAUAUCGGCUUGUUUGUGCCGGUAGCGUCGCAGGGGCUGAAGGCAGGCACUCUUUAGCUGAGAUUCCUGCAUUGCAGGGGUUGGACUAGAUGACCCUUAGUUCCCUUCCAGCUCCAUGAUUCUACACGCCCCUCCAGCAGUUCCCAUGGCUUUGUCCAGCUUCACAUCUUUCCCUCUUGAAGGGGUAUGUUCCUUAGGUAAAGGUAAAGGGACCCCUGACCAUUAGGUCCAGUCGUGGCCGACUCUGGGGUUGCGGCGCUCAUCUUGCUUUAUUGGCCGAGGGAGCCGGCGUACAGCUUCCGGGUCAUGUGGCCAGCAUGACUAAGCCGCUUCUGCCGAACCAGAGCAGCGCACGGAAAUGCUGUUUACCUUCCAACCGGAGCGGUACCUAUUUAUCUACUUGCACUUUGACGUGCUUUUGAACUGCUAGGUUGGCAGGAGCAGGGACCGAGCAAUGGGAGCUCACCCCCGUCACAGGGAUUCGAACCACCGACCUUCUGAUUGGCAAGUCCUAGGCUCUGUGGUUUAACCCAUAGCGCCACCCGCGUCCCUUAAAAUGUUCCUUAAAAUAUUCAUAAACUGCACUUUCGGAACGUGAGUGUGUGUAAGUGAAGACAGAGGCUUCAGCAAUGCAAAUAGAAAAGCUUCAAUAGCAUAUCCAUAAACUUGACUGGUAAAACAAAAUGGAAGUUCCUAAGGCCCUUCCAAACACCUCCCACCAGUCUUCUGUUGGCAGGGAGUUCCACAGGGCAGCGUUGGCUCACACUAAAGGCUCAGUACCCUGGUGAAGGCCAACCCCAGGGGCAUGGGCAACUGCCACAUGGUAUGCUGCCAUCUGUGGCAAUCACUUGUAGCCAGGUAAGAUUGACUUCCAUGAACACAGUCUUGACAGUGAGGCCGUAAGUGACCAUGGAGGCCGAUUCUAGAUCCACCCAUCCUUCCACAGUGGGGACGUUUCCAGGUGGGAGUUGAUCACAGUGAGGGUUUGCCAAACAUGCUGCCAUAUGCAGGACAAUAAACAGCAUCCUGCCCCACAACUCUUAAUGAGGCUCUGGCCUAUUUUGUUUGCAGUUGUUGCCCUGUUCAAGACAAAGCAAGAAGUAUUCAUAUGGUAAAUAUAAACACCCCAGAUUGAUCAGACUUCCCCCUUGGCAGGGGUGCCAUUGAGACUCCCAGUGUGUGUUUAUGUGUGGAGGGGGUUCCAGAAAGGGUCUUUUGACUCCUGUGAAAUAAAGCCUAGUUUCGCCCCUGCCCUUGGGCAUUUGGGGCUUUUCUAGGCUUCAGCAGUCAGGUAAGGUUUUAUAAAUGCUUUGUGCUUUGAAUCUUUCUCUCUUAAGGCUUCAAUUUUCAAAGCCAAGUAAUAUUUUUGUGCCUCUCCCUAUUGCUGCUGUUGAUCUUUUCUGAUUUAAAAAAAAACAUUUUUCAUUGUUUUUAAACAAAUACAAUUACCCAGCAGUACAGCUUAUCCCGCAGUACAGCUAAUGGUGUUUGUUCUAGCCAUUGUCUCUAGACAUACACUUACACAUUCAAUAUUCAAACAUAUUAAUGUAACUUCUCCACUGAGACAACUGAGCAGUUGGUGUAAGGAGAUCUUGAUUUUGGUCAUUAACAUGAUAUUUUAACAUGAUAUCUUUUGUCACUCAUCAUUUAACACUUUUGUUCUCAUCAACUUUGGGUCACAUGUAUUUGCUCUGAAACGAAUUCAAGAGUAAGCACCUUUGGGGUCAAAGCCAUAAUUGUGUUGAGAGCAUUCUGCAUGCAACUAAGUGGCCAAAUAGAUUUAUUGAGAAACUAAGGAAAUUGCUCAAGGCUCUUGUAAACCCAGAUGCCCACAGGGGAGAGUGCCAGGGAAGCAAAUCCUGCAGUGAGCCUCUGCAGGAGGAAGGCUUUCUUCUUUCAGUUGGCGUGAGGAUCAAUUAAGGCACUCCUGGCAAAGACAAAGCAGAAAUGCAUAGUCACAGUUGCUUAUUGCAUCUCUGCCUCUGUCAGUGCUCUGCAUUUGCCUCCCAGUGAGCUAGGAUGUUGCAAACAGUACCUCAUGCAAAAACACGAUGGGCUGGGCUGAGCAUUCCACCACCCUAGAAGUAAACGGUUAGGGCUGGGUCUGUCCCCUUAAUUCAGCUCUGGGAAGAUAAACCCUCAUCCAACAGAUGUUUGAGAAUCACUGGCUUAAAAAAAAAAAGCUUAAAGUCAUCACACAAGUUUUAAGACCAGAACUUCUAACCACUUACAGUGGAACAAGAAUCUUAAUCUGUGUCAACCACUAUGCUGUGGAAUUCCCACCUGACAGGUGUGUCUAGCACCUUUACUAUACAGCUUUCAACAGAUGCUAAAGACAAACCUCUCCCCUGGCCCUUGGCACCUUAGAUAUGUGUUUUUAGGACCCCACCCCUGCCAGAUUUGAAGUUAUAUUAUGAAGCAUCCUGCCUCUGCUGGUUGUGGGAAUGGAUCUUGUUAAAAAACACAGAUUUAUUAGAUCUGGAGGGUCAUGAUAAUAGAUUUGGGUGGCACGCGUAUUUGUGGUAUGAUAAAACAAAAGUACAUAAAGGAUUCCUGAACCAUUUGAUAAGAAAAUCAAUCUAUGAGGGAUAGGUACAAGAAUCUACAGUCAUACCUUGGGUUGCGAAUGCUGUGGGUUGCACAUUUUGAGCUCUGAGCCCGGCCUUGGCUGGGGAGGGCGGGGUAUAAAUAAAAAUUAUUAUUAUUAUUAUUAUUAUUGGGUAAUGGACUGCGCCAAACCUGGAAGUACCAGAACGGGUUACUUCUGGGUUUCAGCGCAUGCACAGAAGCACUGAAUCACGUCACGUGUGUGCACAGACGCGGCGCUGUGGGUUGCGAACAUGCCUCCCGCAUGGAUCACGUUCGCAACCCGAGGUAUGACUGUAUUAGAACGAAGAACACCAUGGUGGCUCUCUCCAUUAGAAGCAAUUUCAGUUAAAAAAGUAAAUAUGAGAGGCAAGUGGGUCACCUAUUAAGAUUUGUUAAAAGAGACGUGAGACCAAUU
rnacentral:lncRNA from 1 species